AAUUUGGUAAAUAUAUAACAUAAAAAUAUGAAGUGGUUUUAAAAAUUGAGGAUGUUUUAUUCUUAAUAACUUCGCUGGCACGCGGGAAGUGUCCUGUUUGAGGCCUACUCAUUUAGUUUAUUAUUUAGUAGCAUUUAGGCACAAAGACACAAUUUUCUAUGAUAGUCGGAUAAAUGUUGAAGUAAGAAGAUGAAAAUACCAAAAAAUGACGCUUUCUUCAGUUUCACUGUGGAAAGACCGCGGAGUGGACUCCAUUGCUUCAGUAAGAUGGAUGGCGAGUGUGUAAAGGAGCUGACAUCACAACACUUACUGGGAGGCAGCGCAAGCAGCCCCCCGGUGACCUGCGAUUCAAGGCCCAGAUUAUGGUUGUUCAUUGUUUGUUUCUGCUCCUUGUUCGGGCUCGGCGACAGACCGCUAUCCUAACAGCAUACACAAAUUAAACCUCGUAUCAGAUAGUAACUAAAUCUGAGAGUGAGACUUGAGUAGAAGUCUAGUAAAAUAAAGAUUGAUUUGUUCUUUACCCAUUCGGUUAGUUUUCCUGAAAUUUUUCCUGAAUGGGUGGUAAUGAAUAAGUUGCAGACUUUAAUUGUGCUAUGAUCAUCAUCAACGCUAAAAAUAUUAAUGAGGGGCAGAAACUUUGUUAUACUUUAGAUAUGGAGUUAUUGUCUUGCACAAUUUAUGAGUAUUAAUGUAUUAUUCAGGUAAGUCAAAUCUCAAAAUAAAGAUCUAUUUUUCAUACUGUACAUUAUAAUUUUGUGAAACCUAAAUUUUUUUGUAUUAAUUUAGGCAAAAUGUAUUCAUUUUUUUAAAUAGGAUUUUAAAAAUCAAAUUUUAAUAAUGCCCAUUUAUCAUCACUGGC
ensembl:lncRNA